rnacentral:lncRNA from 1 species
UCAGAAGGGAAGCGUAAGAAGAUAGUUUAAUAUUGUUUAAAUAAUAUCAAAGCCAUAAAUAAGCAGCAAUUUAGCAUAUUAGGCCCAAAAACACAAUAAUAACAUCAAAUUAAUAAAGCCAAUUAUAGAUAAUAUUACAAGCUCGAAUUCUAAACCCUGAACAGAAGUUUUGGUUAUCUUUCCCCAGCAAAGUCGCCAUUGCUGUCACACCUCCUUUUUACCGCCCGUGGGGGGAGGGGGGGAGGAUAUGGGAGUUUUUCCAAUUAAAG